rnacentral:lncRNA from 1 species
AUUCGCAAGGUCUUAAAGCCAACCUCGACUUGCUGGAAGAAAGGCGGGAGGUAGCUCAAGUUCGGAUGGCAGCCUACAGAUAGAAAGUCGCCCGCUAUUACAACUCCCGGGUCAAAAAUAAAGUCUUUAGAGCAGGAGAUCUAGUGCUUCGACGAGCCGCCAUCUCGCAACCUCAGGAUCGAGGGAAGCUUACCCCAAAUUGAGAAGGCCCGUACGAAGUCAAAGAAGUAGUCCAGCCCGAAACUUAUUACCUCAAGGAGCUCGGAGGAGCAGACCUCCCGUGACCAUGGAGCUCGAAAAACUUACGAAUGUAUUACCGAUAACUUUAUUUUAAAUAAA